GAAUCUGAUGAGCUUGGCUGCAAUGGUGGAAAGCUGCAAAGAUGAAUUUUUGAAAUUCGAUCUAGACUAUGAUCAGAUAGUGGUUCUCAGGACGGAGAUUGCAAAGGCAGCUACUUUAGAUAUUCUCUCAACUCACUGCAUACCAUCUGCACUAUCAGAUGAUCUCAAAGUCUAAAAUGGAAUUGGUGAUGAAUCUAAAAGUCCAAAAUGGAAUUGGUGAUGACUAAGUACUGGUAUUAUCUUACCGUAGCCUGUCUUCUACUUGUUUUUCAUUCCUCUAUGAUAUUAAAUCCUGCACAGUGGAUAUAGUAGCUGUAGCAAUACCUAUAUUUUUACCGCUUCUUAGAUGUUAUCCUACAGAGUAACAGUGCUGGGAGUUGCGGGUUGUCUAGAGCAUAUGAUUAGUUUACUCAUCUCUUGGGAUUGAUAGCUCUAUUUUCUUUUUGAGUUUGCCCCAAAUGGAGGAAUGGAUGCAGAUUGUAAAUGGAAUAGUUAUUGUUGGGAUUUUUUCUUCAGUAUGGAUUUUUGGAGAAAGGUUCA